ACAAGACAGCCUCAGUUCAUCUCCUAACAAAAAAGGGGGUUAAUAUUAGGUGCAUCUUAGCAGAUAUGAAAUAUAGUACUAUAUAAGAGAGCCACAUGUUACAAGACAAUUGGGUUAUAGCUACAAGCUUCGUUAUAUGUUCUGCCAGCUUCGUUAUAUGUUCUGACAUGAGUUACUUUUGUGUUAUGUAGAAAAACAAGAAUCAUGAGUGCAAUGGCAAAUGGAAGGUGAAGGCCCUUUUGAUUGACAACUUAGGAAAAGAUGGAAUGGAACUCAAAUUUUGGUGGUCGGUCAAGUGUGUAGAGUUGAAAUCAUAUAUACUUAGUUAGGCUCAAAUUUAGCGCAAUUCAGUUAGUAUUUUAGUUUGGAUUUAGAGUACACUUAUGUAUGAGUUAUUUAGCAAUGCUUAUUUAUGAGAUAUUGAAUGAUACUUAUCUACAUUAUAUUAACUAUAGUGUUGUUAAAUAUAUGUGUGUAUGUAUAUUAUAAUGUGGUAUCUCAAAAAUGAUUAUAAAUUGAAGAAUGUAUUGCCA